AGAUUUCUGUCCAUUCACCCCACUUGCCUCUUCAUCUCAUGCUGAGGUGGAUAUUUUAAUCAGCUGUGACAGCUUCACAGUUAUGGAGAUUUCAGUCUGUUAGGUGAAGAUCCCAGCUGCCCCUUGACAACAGCCACCUUUCCAGUACACAGUGGAAGAACAUGGCACAGUUCAAGGACAAUUCAGGAGGUUGCUGCCUGCAGCAGAAGAGGGCUGUUGAAACCUGUGAUGAGAGUGGACAAAAGGAAUCCUCAGGCAGGCUCACAAACAAAACCUGGGCUGUCAUUGAUUCAUGGACAAAGCAGAAAUGUCCUGAGUAUUGAAAACACUGGUUUUGUUGAUGAGAAUUAAGCACCAGUCACACCCUACCUCCUAUCUUCUUGAGUUUCUAGAGUUAUGUUGGCAUAAUUUUCUGAAUAGACUUGGUGCCCCUGAGGAGUCAUACCACCAACUACCACAGGCUUUGAAGAAAGAUGAGAAUAGACAAUAGAAAAAACUUCAAGUAUGUGAUGAUACAGUUGAUGGCCUUCAGGAAGAGGGCCAUAUUUCUUGUACUAACUGAGGUCUUCAGGGAUGUGGAAGAAAUAAAUACUUUUGAAUUCAGAUUUUAGCAGUUUAUCAGCAGUGGAGAACAAAACAACGUUUGCUAUUGGAAGACAGACAGAUGUUCUUCUAUAAGGUCUAUUCUGAUUUAAACUUCAGGAGACCUCUGAAGGUAGUCUUGCAGAGCAGUCCAGAAUUUGAAAAUACUUGAGGAAGACCUGAAUUUUCUUUCCAUCUUCCUGCCUCUACACUUUCAUUAAUGAAAGAUACACCUUAAUUCUGAAACAGAACAUGGUGAUAAGUAUAGCUGAUUAUACUGUUUGCUGAGGCAAAACUUCUGGAAGUGCUCCCGGGAGGUGCUCCCUAGCCCCAGCUUUGUCCUGAAGUUUUGCUGCCCUCCAGAUGUCCACCUCUUACAGGUACGAGGCUCGCUGACUGGGGUAAGAGUGUGUCUUGUGAUCUUCUGAACUCUGUUUUGUUAGCUAUCUGAUACAUCACUUCUCUGAAAAAAUCCUCCCUCCUGCUUCUGGGAAAGUAUCUUGAGUUCUAGAGAUCAAUGCAGAACAGGCCACAAAUUGAGAUAGUUACAUAUACAAAUGAUACAACUUUUUGAACGUGUGUUUCUAAUGAUUUAAGCUUUUGUCGUUUUUUUGGUAAAUACUUCUGUAACUCUCUGAAGAAAAACUUCAUUAUUAUAGAGGGUUUCACAGGAAACAAGGAAACUCUCUUUCAGCCAUUAAGAGAAGUGAUACAUCAGACCUAAGCAGAAUUAAAAGGACCCCAAUGUUGUUCAUUGGAGUCUAGUUUCUUAUUUAUAUCCAGUCACUAAAGGAAAACAAAUUAUUUACAAGCAUUUC